AGUGGCGGACGGGUGAGUAACGCGUGAGCAUCUGCCUUCAGGUCGGGGACAACAGAGGGAAACUUCUGCUAAUCCCGGAUGAGCCUUAGGGUAAAAAAUUUAUUGCCUGGAGAUGAGCUCGCGUCUGAUUAGCUAGUUGGUAAGGUAAAAGCUUACCAAGGCAACGAUCAGUAGCUGGUCUGAGAGGAUGAGCAGCCACACUGGGACUGAGACACGGCCCAGACUCCUACGGGAGGCAGCAGUGGGGAAUUUUCCGCAAUGGGCGAAAGCCUGACGGAGCAAGACCGCGUGGGGGAGGAAGGCUCUAGGGUUGUAAACCCCUUUUCUUUGGGAAGAACAAAAUGACGGUACCAAAGGAAUCAGCCUCGGCUAACUCCGUGCCAGCAGCCGCGGUAAUACGGAGGAGGCAAGCGUUAUCCGGAAUGAUUGGGCGUAAAGCGUCCGCAGGUGGCAAUGUAAGUCUGCUGUCAAAACCCAGGGCUCAACUCUGGUCAGGCAGUGGAAACUACAUAGCUAGAGUUCGGUAGGGGCAAAGGGAAUUCCCGGUGUAGCGGUGAAAUGCGUAGAGAUCGGGAAGAACAUCGGUGGCGAAAGCGCUUUGCUAGACCGAAACUGACACUCAGGGACGAAAGCUAGGGGAGCGAAUGGGAUUAGAUACCCC
rnacentral:rRNA from 1 species